UACAGAGGGUGCAAGCGUUAAUCGGAAUUACUGGGCGUAAAGCGAGCGUAGUCGGUUAUUUAAGUCGGGUGUGAAAGCCCCGGGCUCAACCUGGGAAUUGCAUUCGAUACUGGAUAGCUAGAGUUCGGCAGAGGGAAGCGGAAUUUCCGGUGUAGCGGUGAAAUGCGUAGAUAUCGGGAGGAACACCAGUGGCGAAGGCGACUACCUGGCCUGUUUCUUGACGCUGAGGCGCGAAAGCUAGGGGAGCAAACGGG
rnacentral:rRNA from 1 species